UUGCUGGGGCUUCUCGACCUUAGGUUUCUAGAACACAGUUGAGUAAUUUUCCAUGGGAUUUGUCAUCAAGGAUGCCAAAUUGUAGUCAAAUCUAAAAUGGUCUCAGCACGAAUACAAGGAGGAAGAGCCUCUGCACUCUCUUGCCCUGUCAUAGCAUCUGAAAAGGAGCAGUUCUGCAGAUUCUUUGCUUUCAGCCCAGGGAGACCAAUUUUAGCCCUCCAGCAUCCGAUAUGAAAUCACUUGUCUUCUAAAUGCACAGUUUUAAUUAAAAUAAACAACCAACCAAGGAAGCAGAGGAGAAAGACAUUUCAACACUAUUUUUCUUGUUGGACUGUGGUUAAUUCAGUGACUCACGACAUGCCAAGUCCAGCAAACGAGCGGCUGUGGAGGACUCUGGUCUAAGUGAGACAUCUAUAUCACACACCUUGUUCCCUCCUCACAGCUCAAGGGCCUGCCUUCAUGGAAGAGGAGAAAGAAAGGUCAUAAGAGCCAGAGGUAGGGGAGGACUGCUGUGGAAUAGCGUCUUUGGAUACGACACAGCUGAUGCACUCAUGAACUCUGAGCAGCGGGGGUUGCUUGUACAAGACCUGGACAAGAUUGGACCCAUCACCAUUCCACCACGGAAGAGGGAAGGAGUCUUGAGACCCCACCCCUCUCUGAGGGACUAUUGACAGUAAAUCCAGGGAAGAUGGGUCCUUUCUUGAGUGAUGUAAUCACUGACAAAUUGCCCAUUAUCUCAUAUAUAACCACCACACACGCUCGUACAGUCAACCCUAUUUAAACUCAAUGGAUCACUACAUACACAAAAAAGACGUGAAAGGAGGAGGAGGCCUUAGGAAAACCAAAAGGUUUCAGGGUGAGAGGCAAGACAGAUGAGGUAGGGUAGUCAGAGGAGGGUACGAAAGACUAAAAUCUACUAUACACAUGAAUGAAACUGUCAAAGAAUGAAAUUUCAAUUAUGAUCUCCAGUUUAUUUAUUUCGCUGUUGUUACUCAGUAUUCUAUAUGGAGGGCCACACUUGUCCUUGAGUUAGGCACUGAAGUUUAUCAUAUAUAACUGCCCUCCUAUACAAAGAGGCCAUUUUGGUUUACUUGCAAGGCGUUUUACUUGCAUGAAAUAUCAAGAUAAAAUAAUCUUUUGCUGGUAAUUGUCAUGCAGAGUCACAUGCUCCUUCCAACUUUAAUUGAAACCAAAGGAUUAAGGUCUAG